UGGCGUGUAGCUCAAUUGGUGAGAGCAGUUGAUUUUUUAAUCAAGUACAUGCAGGUUCGACUCCUGUCACGCCAG
rfam:Mycobacterium abscessus strain PAP053 genome assembly, contig: ERS075544SCcontig000029